rnacentral:rRNA from 1 species
UAUCUCUGUAGAGUCUGCAUAUCAAUAAGCGGAGGAAAAGAAACUAACUAGGAUUCCCUCAGUAACGGCGAGUGAAGCGGGAAGAGCUCAAAUUUGAAAUCUUCAAGGUUUUACCUUGACGAAUUGUAGUUUAAAGAAGUGUUUUCUGUUGGAGUUUUGGUAAAAGUUCUUUGGAAUAGGACAUCAUAGAGGGUGAGAAUCCCGUAUUUGACCAUUACUUCCAGCGUUGUGAUACACUUUCAAAGAGUCGGAUUGUUUGGGAAUGCAGUCCAAAAUGGGUGGUAAAUUUCAUCUAAAGCUAAAUACUGGCGAGAGACCGAUAGCGAACAAGUACCGUGAGGGAAAGAUGAAAAGAACUUUGAAAAGAGAGUUAAACAGUACGUGAAAUUGUCAAAGGGAAGCGUUUGACACCAGUGUUGUUUUCUCGAAAAUCAAUUAAAAAGUGAUUCAUGCAUGUUGUAUUAGACCUUAUCAGCUACUGCUAAUUUGUUUCUGGUCUCUUUUUAAUGCACUUUUCGUUAACAAGUCAACAUCAAUUUCCUUUGUCUGUAAAAGAGUAAUAGGAAGGUGGCUUUCAAUUCGGUUGAAGUGUUUAUAGCCUUUUAUCUCUGCAGUCGGGGAGAUUGAGGUCUGCAGCGUAGAUCCUUCGGGGCUAGAUACAGUCGAUGCUAAGUUAUAGCUUUUUCAUAGACAACUUGUUGACUAUAAUUUAAUCAUGUAGCUUACUCGUAGUGCUAUUUUACCUACGCUUAGGAUGUUGAGUCAUCACACAUCUC